ensembl:lncRNA
ACAAACCAUCCUUUGCGAACAGGCAAUGUUUGUGAGAAACUCCUCUACAGAAGCUGGGGAUAUGGGGAUGCUGUUAGAGAGACAAGCUCUGCUCUGCUGUGGAUGUGUCAGGUCUUACCUGGUUGAGGUCAACAGGGCCAACAGUGCCUAUGAUCUCUCAGUGACAGCCCUGGAGCUUGCAGGGUGCUGGCUGUUCCCAUUCCUUUGUGUGGCUGGAACCAGUUAUGUUAUGCUUCGGGUUGCAUCUCCAUGGCUUAUUGAACUUUCUAUCUGUGCUUCCUUUAAAGAUAAAAGCCUCAAGAGUUGGCUCAAGUGAGCUUGCCCAGUGCUGCAAAAGAGCAGUGGAGGUGCAUGCAAGGAUACUGUUAACUGAGAAGUUGGGCCGAGUUAAAUGGUACCCUUAAUCCCCUUGAUGUCUGGCAGAGUCAAGUUAAAAGGUCUUCCCCACUUGGGGUGAAGGCUUUGCAUGUGUAGAUGCUGGUUCACUUAAGGGCAAUGCUGCCUCUGUGGUGAAAGAACCUUCUUCUCUGCUGGCGUUUGCUUCGUUGCUGAAGGAAGGAGAAACUUCUGCAGUGUCUUGUGUCAAGUGGGGGCCUGGGCUGAAGUUUUGUUCCAUGGAGGCUUUCAACAAACAGCAAGAGACAUGGCAGAGGGCUAGAAACAGGCCAAACAGAUGAAAAUUAAAGUAAAUAUAGCCCUUGUUUUUCUUCUACAAUUACUUUUGUCUUCCUAUUCCAACUGGAUUUGCCAUGGUAUUUCCAUAGCAGAGAUCCACGUUUUUCUCCUUCACAGCUGUUGCAGGCAACAGGAGGUUGUGUUUCCCUAACACGGUUUCUUUUGGUAUUUGGGGUCUUCUUGGGGGGCCUGCUUUUCUUGACUGAUUUAGGGUUUUUUCCCUUGCUGAGUUCUUCAGUUAGUAAUGUUUGUUGCCUCUGUACCAUCCUGGUGGGACAGCUUGGUCUCCUCCAGGAAGAAAACUCAGCUGUGGAAGGGAACAGAAAUUGGCUUCUAUGCUACCCUCUCCUGUUUUGUUGGAGGUCUGGGGAGAGAAGUGUAUGUGUGUACAUAAAACUACAUGCUUCAAAAAAAAUUGAGGUGUUUUUUAAAAGAUAGGAGUAGCUUUUCAUUCACAAUUGCAUGCGUGACGUUGAUGUAUUGGAACAGGAUAUUCAAGAUCCUAAACAGAAUCCUACUUAGUGCUCUGAAUCUUUUGUCUCUGCAUUUCCUCUCUUCAACUCAGUUGUUGGUUUGGGAGUUACAUUUCCUGGUACAACCUUUUAAAGCACAUGUAUUUUAUUUGCAUGUAAAUUGGCAGAGGGAGGCAUCUUCCAUGUAAAUGCUGUGCUAAUCAUUACAGGUUCCAUGGUUCAUCAGGGCUUGGGUUCCUAAUUGGCUGCAGGAUUCCCAAAAGUGUCAAUAGUCUGAUUCAGAGCAAUAGGAAUUAUUGAAUCUACAUAAUAAAAGGAGUGUGAUGAAAGAUGCGGUAAGAAACUUACCUUCCAGGCCUGAAGAGAGGACAGGCUAUUCUGGGAUGGAGCCUCUUCCCAUUGCUUGGCUGCAUGAGGCUGUUAAAAGAAAAGAGAAAUUCAAAAGAGAUUUAGCAUCUUUUCUGCUAUUUCCUGUUGAACAUCAGCAGAGCGCGUUGACACCGGCAGAAGUAAUCUGACCUACGGGAACAUGCCUUGUGAGGCAGCGCCAGUGAGAGUUUGACCUCAGGCAUCCCGAUAGCGUGGUGUGUGUGCUGUGGCCGUGCUGGCUGACACCAUUUGUCCCCUGAGAGAUACAAGGUGGGUGGAAGGACUUUUUUCCCCCCUCCCCCCUCCUGUUGACUCUGUUGUACCUUGUAGCAAUAAUCAUAGGCUUGCAGUGUCAGGGCCAGAAUUUAGUUAUGUCCUUUUCCAGGUGAAUGCCCUAAACCCUGAGACAGGCUCACUUUUCUCUUUUUUUCCUCUGUUUCUCAGUCACUGUGUGUUGUCUUCUCACAAGGCAAAUGGUACUUCAACCAUGAACCCUCUGAUAUUUUGGUUUUCAUGUUGUCUUCCUGUAGAAAGUGCUUGCCAGUAGUAGGCAAGAUUUGCUAGCAGGUAAAAUUACUUAGCUUUUAGGCAAGCUUAUUUGGAAAUGUCGUUGCUCAUCCUUUUAAUACCCACCAGGUAAACUGCUUCCCUUUCAGAAUUCCCACAGAAUGUUUCGUGGCCCACCCAGCAUCUGGCUUUCAGCUCUAACGCUGGAGAACAAGCACAGCUAUAUUGCAUGUGAAAUAGUCUCUUACAACAAGAGCUACAGAAGUGCCAGGCUCCCGUGUCACACUGUGUUUGCAAGCCUGACUGCCAUUGACAGAUUACUUGUCUGUGAGACCACUGUGACAAUACAACCUGGCAAAAAUUAACUUGAAAAAUAGUUGGGAGCUUGUUGCCAUCAGCAAACCUGGGGUCUUUAAGAGGCCGUUGUCAGUAGCGUGCAGGGUGAAGCCAUCCAAUGCAAUCAUGUUAGUGCUAGCACAGAGCAUGAACUCCUGAGAGGGGACUUGGCAUUGGCUUAUGCUCAAGGGCAAUUGUUGGAGCAGCUUGUGAACAGGCAGCCUGCCAGCUAGAUGGGCAUAGCUCUGGACAGCUAAUAGACCAUGUGUGUGUGCAGGGAAGGCAAGAUGCACAGCUGGGAAAUUGGAAAGAGAUUUCUAUAAACUUCUGCUCUGAGGGGUAAGAGUAUAUUCAGGCGAUGCCAAUCCAUGGAAGAGUAACAAAAUGAUUUCUGGCAGCUAAGACAGGUUCUUGGUCCCGCUGAAUCUGACAGAAUGCUGUGGGGGAGAACUGGAGAUGUCAUGGUUAACGAGUAUGGAAAUUAUAUCAGUAGCUUGGCCAUCUAGGUUUUAAAUGUUGUCAAUCUACAACAUGCAAUACUUGUCUAAUGUUUUCUGGCUGCUUAGUUUAAGGCACAAGAGCAGACAGCGUCUCUGUAAUGAGUUGGGAUGUACAGGCAGCAAGCUGUUGAUAGCAGAGCAGAAAUCUUGGUUCCUCAUCUCAACAAGCUAAGCUUAAAUUAAUCAAAAAAGAUGGCAGGCAGGAGAGGAAGCAGUGUUGUUUUCUUUUGUCUGUGCUUUUUUUCUUUUCUUC